rnacentral:rRNA from 1 species
UAACUUUCAACAACGGAUCUCUUGGCUCUCGCAUCGAUGAAGAACGCAGCGAAAUGCGAUAAGUAAUGUGAAUUGCAGAAUUCAGUGAAUCAUCGAAUCUUUGAACGCAGCUUGCGCUCUCUGGUAUUCCGGAGAGCAUGCCUGUUUGAGUAUCAUGA